AUUGAACGCUGGCGGCAGGCCUAGCACAUGCAAGUCGAGCGGGGUUUUCGGACCUAGCGGCGGACGGGUGAGUAAUGCGUAGGAAGCUGCCCGAUAGAGGGGGAUACCAGUUGGAAACGACUGUUAAUACCGCAUAAUGUCUACGGACCAAAGUGUGGGACCUUCGGGCCACAUGCUAUCGGAUGCGCCUACGUGGGAUUAGCUAGUUGGUGAGGUAAUGGCUCACCAAGGCGACGAUCUCUAGCUGGUUUGAGAGGAUGAUCAGCCACACUGGAACUGAGACACGGUCCAGACUCCUACGGGAGGCAGCAGUGGGGAAUAUUGGACAAUGGGCGCAAGCCUGAUCCAGCCAUGCCGCGUGUGUGAAGAAGGCCUUCGGGUUGUAAAGCACUUUCAGCGAGGAGGAAGGGUGGUGUGUUAAUAGCACAUCAUUCUGACGUUACUCGCAGAAGAAGCACCGGCUAACUCUGUGACAGCCGCCGCAGUAAUAC
rnacentral:rRNA from 1 species